rnacentral:ncRNA from 1 species
AGCGCGAGGCGUGGACGAGAGGAAGGGAUAGAGGAAUUUGUAGCCCUACGAACAGAAGCUUGAUAUUAAGGCGUUCAUUGGCGUGUAAGUUAGCCUAAGAUAACGAAGCCUUAAAGGCAGCCGUAAACCAUGGGCGUAAAUCAAGAGGGCAGACGAGGAAAGAAC